rnacentral:lncRNA from 1 species
AAUAAAAAAGAAAUCAUUCGUAGUAAAAAAUACAAUAGUAGAAUCGGGUAAUUUUAUUUCUUUUUUCUCUUGGAAACCCUGCUCACUUCCGAGUGGAUUUUCUUCACUUCCGGAAACGGUUCGUGAGUAGGCUUUAUUUUAUGUUGUGGAAAACCUACGCGAACAAACGGAUCGUUAUCAAUAGUGAAAUUAGAGACUCGUGAUUUGAUAAACGAUCAAAAGAUGGAAAGAUAUUGAAUAAAGAAAAAAUAAUGAACGAUUCACAAUUUCUUUACGAGAGAUCGGUUGAUCUCGAACGAGAUGAUUAACCUCGUUUCACGAAUCCAUCCCAUAAAUCUUAUUAUACCCGUUAUAUAUUAAUUAAACAAAAGUUUCACGAGUGGAUCAAAUUUUAAUAACUCUACGUCGAGCGUAGAACGUUCGGUGACAAAAGCGUAAACUGGAAGAAUAUAAUAUUACUCGUGAUGAAAAGUGAAGAAUGUUUCAUUUUUCGAUUUUGCACUACGAGAAAAAAAAAAGAAAAGAAAAGAAAAUUGGAACUUGACGAAAAUAAUAAAGAAAAACGCGAGAAACGUGGACGGUAAUUACCUUCUUUGGAAUAAUAUUUCAAUGGGGAAAAAUAUUGGAAUGCUUUUCAGAAGCGGGAAAAAUGAAGGAGGAAAUAUAUGUCUCGUCAGUGAAGGGAAAUGGGAAAAAUUAGCUCUUUAAUCAGCCCUAUGAAAACCGAUGGCACGAAAGAAGAAAUCACCGAUCUGAAAGGAUGAUGGAACAAAGAAUACCAAUUCCCUGGACGGGACGAAGGAAAAGCGAAGCACUUGGAAUAAAGUCCCUGGUUGAAAAGCGAGGGGAAUUCUUCGGUGGCGGUGGCCUUUCGCGUGGUAAAAAGCUUCAAUGAAAGGUAAAUCUCGAAGAGAAAUGGCACGGUAGUCUGUGAAAGAAGGCAAUCUCGAUGAUAAAAAAAGAAAAAAGAAAUUGAUCUUCGAAACUGUCUCUCUGAGUCUAGAAACAAGUCUCGGAAUCGUUUUAUGUCCAUUCGCUGUGUGUAAGAAUCAGUGGAGGAAUUUAGAAACGAGUCAGCUCCGGCAAACUACAAUUUUCCAGGACGUCAACCAUAUCGACGAAAUGAUCUCGACCUUUCGGCAUUCCCCUGCUGUCAUAGCACGCGACAUCGGGCGUCGUAUGCAUGGCUCGUGCCAGUUGGUAACCCCGGUGUAAUUCUUUUUUCGGCGGAGAAUCGGUUCUCAGGAGAUUGGAAAGGUGGAAAUGAGAUUUCCAGGGGCAAUUUGAAGCGAGUUUGUGCCGGUAAAAAGGUCGAGAUGAAGGGAGAGGAGGAGGAGGAGAGGGCGUCUCGUGACGAAGAAGAGGAGGAAGUCGAGACGGGGUCGAGGGCUGACUAGCGCGAGAUGAGGAGACGGAUACACACGGAGAUAAAUAAAUCUUUGAACUUCAUCGAAAAUCAAUUUAUAUUGGGAAAAAAAAAACGACGACAGAAAUAUCAAAUCAUAUCUAGUUUCUUAAAUAUUCUCAUUGAUUCACGAAUGAAUCGAAACUAAAGGAAACGAACUUGAAGUAAUAAUUCUAAAAAUGGAUUAAUCGUAAAAUUAUCGAUAAGCCUAUUCAUCUACAGUUUCUCACACGACACUUUCACUUCCCAUCUUUUUGAUGAGAGAACAUAAAUUUGAAGAAGAUUGUUCAAACAAAUUCAAUCAUCUGGAGAACAAGAUCGACCACCAACAUGAUUUUUAAGCAGAUUCAUUUAUCAACAAGUCUUUACUUCGCUGCCAUCACUUAAACGAGAUGCAGUAUCUUCCAGUUAAAACUGAAUCACUGCAAGUACCAAGACAAUGUAUAAAUAUAAAUUAUGUAAUGUAUAUGUAAUAUAAAUUUAUUAUU